GGGGAUUUAGCUCAGUGGCAUAAGCACCUGCCUUGAAAGCAGGCAGUCGUGAGUUUGAUCCCUG
rnacentral:tRNA from 1 species